CAACUUCCACCUGGCUUACCUCCNUCAGUUAUGCGUCAUGACUUGUAUCGUCUUGAGCGUAUUGUGGGUUUCCUGUGUUGCAUACCUAAUAAUGGAAUCGUUUUGGUUGAUUGAAGUCCCUUUUCAUCACGUGUUGCCUUUGCGAUGCAUGAUGAACCUCGAAGCGGUCUCUAUGUUCCACCACGUUGAUGCUAGUGUCUUGAUGUUGUGGCCCAUUGAGUGUUGCUUGGUUUUGUGGAUACAGAACAUGAUUUGGGCAUAGGGUCACCUGUGACUCUUGUUUUGUCCUUUAUCAGUGUUCUCUAUAACGACGGUUCAUGCGCGCCUAGGCUCGUACCUGCGCGAUGUUCUUUGUCGAAGAGGAAUGCUACCUGGUUGAUCCUGCCAGUAGUCAUAUGCUUGUCUCAAAGAUUAAGCCAUGCAUGUGUAAGU
rnacentral:misc_RNA from 1 species